rnacentral:rRNA from 1 species
UACGAAGGGGGCUAGCGUUGCUCGGAAUCACUGGGCGUAAAGCGCACGUAGGCGGAUUGCUAAGUCAGGGGUGAAAUCCUGGAGCUCAACUCCAGAACUGCCUUUGAUACUGGCAAUCUCGAGUCCGAUAGAGGUGGGUGGAAUUCCUAGUGUAGAGGUGAAAUUCGUAGAUAUUAGGAAGAACACCGGUGGCGAAGGCGGCCCACUGGAUCGGUACUGACGCUGAGGUGCGAAAGCCAGGGGAGCAAACGGG